UAAUGUUUUCUUUGCCUCUCCAUUCAAAACAAAUAAUGUGCUCUAAGCCCCCAGGAGCCCUGAACUGAGGACUGUGGGAAUGAUAAACUCCCAGACAAAUCUAAGCUUCUAUGGGAUUUGCUGCUCCAGCUGGAUGCAAAUAAAUCUGUGGCUCCUAAUGAGAUUCUUCCCAGGCAAUCAGUGAGCACCAGAUGAGGCCCUUCCUCAAAACAGACCUAGAGAAGAUCAGAGCAGAAUUAUGCUAAACAGAAGGAUGAGAAUGACAAAGCCUGCAGAAAAUGAGGAGCCAAGACGGUACAAGAAAAUACUGGAAGCACAGACAAUAGCCAAAUGUCAGCGAAACAGAAAUAGAUUUCUCAGUCUGAGGGGAAAGAAAAUCUAUCCAAUAGUUGCAUGAAAGUCAAAUAUGAAACCAUCAAGUGAUGCUGUCAUACCGCCUCAAGAUUCAGAGAAACAACUGGAACUCAGAGGAAGGUUAACUGACACUCAUCAAGAACUUCAGCGAGAAAUUAGAGAAAUAGAUAUGGACUUCUCAUAGUUGUAUUGCUCUGCUUCUAUCAGUGAAGGAGAUAGACCUCAGAAUGGUUAGUACCUGAUGGAAGGUUUUCUUUACUCUUUAAUUGGCAGAAGCCCAGACAGCACCAAGAGCAGGAGCAAGAUGAUUUUCAGUACUUUCUUCUGUUUGCUUGUGUAAAGGCAAAAUUGCAAGAAAAUCUACUUUCAAUUCUUUAUUCUCUAGCUGAAAGGUAUUUUGUGCAGAAUUGGGCAACUGGUUUGCCGGAAUUAAAAACACCUCUGGUGAGCAUAAAGAAACAGUUUGUAGUGGUCAAAUAUUACAAUCCCUAUAAGAACUAAGAAAAUCUCAUGAUCCCAGCUUACUCAACUAUAUCAAAUUUAGCCUCAGAGCAUCACAAAACCCUGACAUAGUUGCUAGCUCCUGCAGAUACCAGGUGAAGGUGAGAACUCUGGUUGGAGUCAGGAGUCAGACAGAAGUAGCACAACAGUAGCUAUCUAUAAAUAAAAUAGACAGAGGAUUUGGAACUUGCUGACUUUUAGUUUAUUUUCAGGACUGCUACUCUGCACAAAAAUAACAGUUUAGGAUGUAUAUUUGUACACUUCUGGCUGUGCUAAAAGACAAGAAGUGCUGAUUUCAGAGAGAAGCUUUCAGGCUGGCCCAAGUGAAACCAAGGCUAGAGAGUUCGGCAUUAUGACCUUCUCUCUCCAUUCAAGGGAGAUUACAGAAGUGAAAAGCAUAGCAGUAUCUUAAUCACAUAAUAUUCUAUCUUGUAGCAAAGCUACAUAAUUUUGUGAUUCUGAAGCUACCUUAUGCAUUUGUAUAUGACCAUCAGCUGUGCCCCAAAGAAGUUAAUACUAAAUCUUGUGCCAAAGUAAGUUCUUUUUAAACUCGUAUUUUCUUUCUUGGCUACCAUUUUACUAUAAAAAUGUAUAAAGUUGUAUAUGUACAUAUUUAGAGAAUUAUAGAAACACAGAAUGUUUUGAGUUGGAAGGGACAUUAAACACCAUCUAGUUUCACCCCCAUGCCACCUGGAUAAGGUUACCACCUGCCAGAUCAGGCUGCCCAGGGUCCCAUCCAACCUGGCCUUGAACAUUUCUGGGGGUGGAGCAUACACAGAUUCUCUGUUCCUGUGUCUCACCACCCUCUGAGUAAAGAAUUUCUUCCUUAUGCUUAAUCCAAAUUUACUCUUUUUUAAUUUAAAGCUGUUAUCCUCUUGCUCCAUUGCUACAUUCCCUGAUAAAGAGUCCCUCUUCAUCUUUCCUGCAGGCCCCAUUUAAGUACUGGAAGGUCAAUAUAAGGUCUCUUAGGAGCCUUCCCUUUUCCAACUCUUUCACGAAAGAUGGAAGGGGAUCAGGAAAAUCAGAGAAAUCUGAGAAGCUUGAUUUUACAUCACCAAGUGAACGCAGAUUUUUGGUCCUGGCCAGCCUUGUGCAGAAAGGGUUGGAAGAUAUUUUAGUUUCUGAAAAACUUCAGAAGACAGAAUUGGAAUGCAUAACAGCACACAUUUUGAAUCUAAAGAUUUAUGUACAGAAUCCAUUGUUCUAUUCUUACACAGCAAUAUAUUCUAUAUAUAUAGCAUACAUAUCUACCCAUCCAUGUAUCUUUCUUACCUAUCAUAUUAGAUGUUUAGUUUUAUACAACUGUCAUAAAACAUCCAGGAAUUUAUAUCUUGCUUUUUCCAGUUUUUUGGACAAGUAGAAACAGAUACAGGAACAAGAGGCAGCUUUUCAGUGUUGUUAUGUCAUCUAUCCAUCUAUCUGACUGCCUAUCUACUCACUAUUUUUGUAAAUAGUAUUGAACAAUAAGCUAUACCUGCAGCUGUGAUGGCAUCAUGUACAUAUAAUUAAAUAGAGAUUUGAUAUAACUUUUGAGGCUAACAUUGCUCAUUGUUAAUUCCUACUAUUCGCACCCCAGUUUUACUCAUCUUUUAAGUUCACCAAGUUAAAGGGCGUCCUCACUUGAGAACAAUAGGAGAUGAUCAGAAUAUCAGAUAAUACAAAUUGAUUUUUGUUUAUCUCUAAAAAUGACAAUAAAAUCUACUGUAAUAAAUGGCAUAGGUGGACUUGAUAUUUUAAACUUCAGGUGGCUGCAUGAUUUUAAUCACCAGCAAGAUAAGUUCAGAUUAGUUCACAGUAAUUCAAAUUAAUGUUACAAGGAAAGAGAAGAUGAAAACUACUUAUUUACAAAAUAACCCUAAAGCAACAAAAGGAGGAGGCUAAAGCAGGUUCCAAAGAUUUCUCCAGAAAAGAAUUUAUACAAGAAAUAUAUUUUACAAAUUAUACUUCCUCAAAUAAUGGCUGAGUACAUUUAAAUAUUUUUCUUUACCCCUGGACAAAUAGUAAGCAAAAGACAACUGGAAAUGCAAAAAAUAGCACCAUUACUUAGGGAAAAUAUAAUCUAAGGCAAAAAGAGCAGGUGUAGCCAUUGAAGAAGAAGCUGGAAUAUCAGCACUUUGAAUUGCACAUGCAGUGAGAGUAAUACCUACCCUACGUGGAAAGCUCCAGGAUGUCUUUCAGUGAUCCACGGGCUUUGUCCUGCUCUGGCAGUCAGCAGUGGAUGGGAGAGGAGGUGUUCAUACAAGGAGAAGCCUGCUUGCCACCACAAUUAGGGCUGUCCUGAGAUCUGUGAACGAGAAUGAUCUCUUCAGUCUGGUGCAAAGCAGCAGGAUUAAGGUCCCUAUACAUGUACAAGCUUGGGAGAGAGUCAGCAAUGCUAGGAUAAGGGUCACUUUUCUUCUUAGAGAAAAGCAUUGCUGGAUACAAUGCAAUUAUAUUUCAGUAAGGAGAGUUUUGAUGUGGACUCAGGGUACAGGAGCAGCCUGUCCUUCUGCACUGCCUGACACUUCCACCAUGUGUUGGGGCAAGGAGUGCAGGUCAGAAAUCUUGCAGAGCCUAAGGGAAAGUUUCUCCAGAAAACACUCACCAGAAAGUGAGAAGCCCACAGUAUUCUGGUGGAAGAAGUCAUCUGUGAACUUACGUAUGUAUCUGGGUCUAAAGGAAAGAGAGAAGUUUAUUCAAAAUACAUGGACCUAAGAUUGUACUGGGCUUGUCUGCCAUUACCUUGCAUUGCCUUGCCUUGGUUGACUAUUAAAAAUUAUGCAAUAAACCACGUUUAGACUAUUCAUUUACUUAUGUAUCCUCCCUGCUCUCUGUAAGAAGAUUUACUCCUUUUUGUAUGUUAAUCUUAAGGAAGUAUGAUGUAUCAUAAUCAACUUGAAAACCUCUUCAGAGAUGGUUUGUGUCACACUUCUCCUGCAGCAUCACAGAAAGUGUGCUCUUUCAUUUUUUAUUGUCCAGAGACAAAAUGCAGCCCCAUACAAAGCUAUGGAAGGGUGGAUGAGAGACUUCAGGAUCAAAAUGCCACAAGGUUACAUUGGCAGUAUUUUAGUAUUUUCAGAAAGGAAAAGAGAGAGUUAUUGUACUAAGUUUAUAAUAAAUGUCCUUCAUUUUUAGUUCAUGUGCUGAGAUUAAAAUGAAAGUGAACCAACACA